rnacentral:rRNA from 1 species
AACGAACGCUGGCGGCAGGCUUAACACAUGCAAGUCGAACGCCCCGCAAGGGGAGUGGCAGACGGGUGAGUAACGCGUGGGAACGUGCCCUAAGGUUUGGAAUAUUCCCGGGAAACUAGGAGCAAUACCAAAUGUGUCCGUAAGGAGAAAGAUUUAUCGCCUUAGGAUCGGCCCGCGUCAGAUUAGGUAGUUGGUGGGGUAAUGGCCUACCAAGCCGACGAUCUGUAGCUGGUCUGAGAGGACGACCAGCCACACUGGGACUGAGACACGGCCCAGACUCCUACGGGAGGCAGCAGUGGGGAAUCUUGGACAAUGGGCGCAAGCCUGAUCCAGCCAUGCCGCGUGGAUGAUGAAGGCCCUAGGGUUGUAAAAUCCUUUCGUUGGGGGCGAUAAUGACGGUACCCAAAGAAGAAGCUCCGGCUAACUUCGUGCCAGCCGCCGCCGUAACAC